AUCAUCAAUCUCAAAAAUUCUAAAAAUUUUAUUCAAGAAAAUCAAGAAUACAUAAAAGAAAAAUAGAUUUUUGCAUUAAAUGCCUAUUUUUCUCAAGAAAAUUGAAUAAAAAUCAAUUAAAGGAUGUUGUUUGUGGGGCUGUCGGAGGCUGGUGGUCAGACAACGACUACAGGGGUUGCGGUAUUGGUGGUGAUACGGAGACGUGUGUGUAGCCUACACUCAUAGAAAUUUCAGCAGACGCGCAGACAACGUGUGUUGGGGCUGCUAUCGGUGACAGGUGGCUGCCGGGCGGUGACCCACGGCGGUUGGUGGUUGAUGGUGACAGCAGGCAGCCAGCAAGGGUGGUUUCUUGGUGGGCGUUUAGAAUUUUGUGGGUUUUUUGCAAAAAGAAAGAAAAAAUAAAGGAAAAAUAAAAUAAAAAAUAUAAUAAUAAAGAUAUAUGGGGGAAUUUUUGUGCUGAAAAAAAGGAGUUGUAGAAUUAGGACAUGUUUGGUCGCGC
rnacentral:lncRNA from 1 species